rnacentral:rRNA from 1 species
AUUGAACGCUGGCGGCAUGCCUUACACAUGCAAGUCGAACGGCAGCACGGGGCAACCUGGUGGCGAGUGGCGAACGGGUGAGUAAUGCAUCGGAACGUACCUUUCAGUGGGGGAUAACGUAGCGAAAGUUACGCUAAUACCGCAUAUUCUGUGAGCAGGAAAGCAGGGGAUCGCAAGACCUUGCGCUGAUUGAGCGGCCGAUGUCAGAUUAGCUAGUUGGUGAGGUAAAGGCUAACCAAGGCGACGAUCUGUAGCUGGCCUGAGAGGAUGAUCCGCCACACUGGAACUGAGACACGGUCCAGACUCCUACGGGAGGCAGCAGUGGGGAAUUUUGGACAAUGGGGGCAACCCUGAUCCAGCCAUGCCGCGUGAGUGAAGAAGGCCUUCGGGUUGUAAAGCUCUUUCGGCCGGGAAGAAAUCGCACGGGCUAAUACCCUGUGUGGAUGACGGUACCGGAAUAAGAAGCACCGGCUAACUACGUGCCAGCCGCCGCCGUAACAC